rnacentral:rRNA from 1 species
CAGUCGCCGCGGUAAUACGUAGGUGGCAAGCGUUGUCCGGAAUUAUUGGGCGUAAAGGGCUCGCAGGCGGUUUCUUAAGUCUGAUGUGAGAGCCCCCGGCUCAACCGGGGAGGGUUAUUGGAAACUGGGAAACUUGAGUGCAGAAGAGGAGAGUGGAAUUCCACGUGUAGCGGUGAAAUGCGUAGAGAUGUGGAGGAACACCAGUGGCGAAGGCGACUCUCUGGUCUGUAACUGACGCUGAGGAGCGAAAGCGUGGGGAGCGAACAGGAUUAGAUACCCGUGUAGUCCCUGUCUCUUAUAC